AGUCCGCCGGGAGUCUCCCUCACUCGAUUCCCUGCUUUAGAUUGGUCAGGAGGUUUCUGACAGGUCGGUACACAUGUUUCGGUGGUCUCAGGUAUUCGGAGAGAGAACAAACACUAUGGGACAGGGAAGGGGGGAAAGAAAGAAAGAACACUAUGGGACGGGGGAAGAAAGAAAGAACACUAUGGGACAGGGGAGUGUGGGGGGGAGAGAAAGAACACUAUGGGACAGGGGUAGGGGAGGGAGAAAGAGCGAACACUGGGAC